UUUCUUGAUUUCACCGAAGGAAUUCCGAAGGAAUUCCGAGGGGAAUUCCUUCGGAAUUCCUUCGGUGAAAUCAAGAA